rnacentral:rRNA from 1 species
CGAGCACGCGCGUGUGGCAUAUCAAUAAGCGGAGGAAAAGAAACUAACAAGGAUUCCCUUAGUAACGGCGAGUGAAGCGGGAAGAGCUCAAAUUUGAAAUCUUCAAGGUUCUACCUUGACGAAUUGUAGUUUAUAGAAGUGUUUUCUGUUAGUAGGAGUGGCAAAAGUUCUUUGGAAUAGGACAUCAUAGAGGGUGAGAAUCCCGUAUUUGGUCAUUCUUCUAGCGUUGUGAUACACUUUCAACGAGUCGGAUUGUUUGGGAAUGCAGUCCAAAAUGGGUGGUAAAUUUCAUCUAAAGCUAAAUAUUGGCGAGAGACCGAUAGCGAACAAGUACCGUGAGGGAAAGAUGAAAAGAACUUUGAAAAGAGAGUUAAACAGUACGUGAAAUUGUCAAAAGGGAAGCGUUUGACACCAGUGUUGUUUUUCCGAAAAUCAAUUACGAAUGUUUUGUUUUUAAGAAGUUAUGACUUCAUCGGCUUGCUUCUUUCUUUACGAAACUUUCCUAAUGCACUUUUCGGUUAACAAGUCAACAUCAAUUUCUUUUGCUGUAAAAGGGUAUGAGGAAGGUGGCUUUCUUUUCGGAGAAAGUGUUUAUAGCCUUGUAGCCUCUGCAAUCGGAGAGAUUGAGGUCUGCAGCGUAGAUCCUUCGGGAUUAGAUACGUUUGUGCUAAGUUAUAGCUUUUCAUAGACAACUUGUUGACUAUGUUUAGUCUUGUAGCUUACUCGCUGACUGCUAUUUUACCUACGCUUAGGAUGUUGAACUCUAUCACACACAG